CCGCAGCCUGCACUGGCUUCAGCGGUGGCCAUGCUGGGGAGGAUGUAAAUGAUGGACCAGAAGAUGGAUACGCAGGAUCCGGCACACGAGAACAGAACAGCGGCUGGCAGGUUCCUGUUUUCGGUUUGUGGAGCAGAGGAAGCAUUUUUGGGGUGCACAAAGGUCCUGUCUAGCCUGCGGCGGGCACCUUGCCAAUGUAUCUGAUGACAUCUUGGUGUCUCUGGCACAACAGAUAAAUCAGUCAUCCGGUUGGUGGGUCGAACAUGGUGCUCCAGUGAACAUUUCCAAACCUAGAGACACCUUGAAGCAGAAACUAUGUCGAGUUUUAACACAAAAUGCGGAGAUACAGUUUGUGUCAUGUCUACAACAAAAUGGCUU